rnacentral:tRNA from 1 species
UCUUCGGUAGUAUAUCGGAUAGUACACCCGCCUGUCAUUCGCUGUAGCUGUAGUAUAAUGAUCGCGGGAGAGCGGGGUUCGACUCCCCGCCGAAGAG